rnacentral:lncRNA from 1 species
GCCGGAUUCUGGAUGCAUCAUAAAGGCAGAACUACUCGGAUUUGCAGACAGAUUGGAUGAGGGGGGGAGGGAAAGAGAUCCUCAUACGCAGAUGAGAAAACCAGGCCACAGGAGCUGAAGAAACUUGCUCUGGACUCUGAGUCAGCUUUGGUUGGCCGGGUGUAAUCACGGUGGCUGCCUGGCUGUGGGGGUAUCCAGAGGAAGGGGCUGCCACUUUCUAAUUUGCUGGUGGUGGCCCUGCCUGUCUGUGAGAGGUGACCAAGGCCAGCAGCCCGGGGCAGCGCUGACUCCCCGCGUCCCUCCUGUUGUGGUCCAGGUGGGCCGGGGCCUAGGAGCAGGGCUGCCCAGGGCCCCUCUGGAGAGAAACGUGGAGGGACGGAAAGCAGAGGCUGUUGUGUUUUUCAGGAAGGAAAUCCUCGCUGCUCUAACAGUCUGGAAGUCUCGGCCAGCCCAGCAGUCCGGCGCAGCCAGGAAGUGCCCCCUCCCGCCUGCUCACUGGUCGGAGGCAAACACUUUUGAGGACAGGAAGGGGAGAGGUGAGCCCCGGGUGGCAGCUGCUUCUCUUUCCUGCCUUCCCAACCUGCUCCUCCCUCAGAUCUCCUAGCCACUCCAUCCUUCUCAUUGUCCAGAGAAGUUAUUACUCAGGAGAGUCACCCCACAUCCCCUUGGAUGUCGGAUGGGCAGUGUGAGAAGUGUGCAGUCAGCAGGGGGCUGUAGGAGUCUGGAGUCUGGGGAGAAACCAGGACUGGAGACAACUGUUUGGAAGCCAUCAGUGUGAGGAUGAUGUUUAAAGACAUGACACUGAGUGAAAUCACCAAGGGAGUGAGCAGAUAGGGGAGACGAGGUCUGAGGACAGAGUCCCGGGGCUCUCCCAAGUGUGGCACUCCAGAGAUGAAGAUGGACCAGCAGCCGGGACUGACUCAGAGCAGCCAGCAAAGGCGGGAAGAGCAGGAGAGAGCGGUGUUGCAGGGCUGGGAAACCUGCCUGCUGAAGACAGCUGGAGAGAUCAAGGAUACAGAUAGACAGGUAGACAGGCGGAUAGAUAGAUAAAUACACUGUUUUGUAGCGUUUCCUAAUUUCCAUGGUAUAAACACUCCUACCAUGGUCCUUCUCAAGCUACCAACAUAAUGUCACUGGACAGGUUGUUGGCACACUCAGAUCUUGCAAGCUGAUCUGAGCUGGCUCCCGCUCACCACUGCCUGGGAGCCAAGUGAAAAAAGAGUGUGAGGAAAGAAACAGAAGAAUGAAAAGAGCGAUCAACCAUAUUAAAUGCUGUUGACAUGUUGAAUUAGAUGAAGACGCCUGUGGUGAUGUAUAUAACAUUUUGCCACACAGAAAUGUUAAACCUAGUUGAGGUAAGAUGGAAAAAUAGCGUGACCUCAUACCCUGUUUGUAAAGUCAAGCUUUCCCAAUGCAGCUUAAAAGACCAGAGAGAGAGAGAAACAAGUACUUAGCUCAUUUAUUUUCAACCUUUCUUCUUUUCUAAUGUAUGUAGGAAGGCUAUAAUUUUCCCUAUACACAUGGCUUUAGCUGCAUUCCACACAUUUUUAUAUGCGGUAUUUUAAAUAUCAUUCAUUCAAAAUAUAUUUUUAAUUGUCACUGGG